rnacentral:rRNA from 1 species
ACGGGUGAGUAACGCGUAGGUAACCUGCCUUGUAGCGGGGGAUAACUAUUGGAAACGAUAGCUAAUACCGCAUAACAAUAGGUGACACAUGUCAUUUAUUUGAAAGGGGCAAUUGCUCCACUACAAGAUGGACCUGCGUUGUAUUAGCUAGUAGGUGAGGUAACGGCUCACCUAGGCAACGAUACAUAGCCGACCUGAGAGGGUGAUCGGCCACACUGGGACUGAGAUACGGCCCUUACUCCUACGGGAGGCAGCAGUGGGGAAUAUUGGACAAUGGGGGCAACCCUGAUCCAGCAAUUCUGUGUGCACGAAGAAGGUUUUCGGAUCGUAAAGUGCUUUCAGCAGGGAGGAAGGAAGUGACUGUACCUGCAGAAGAAGCGACGGCUAAAUACGUGCCAGCAGCCGCGGUAAUACGUAUGUCGCGAGCGUUAUCCGGAAUUAUUGGGCAUAAAGGGCAUCUAGGCGGCCGGGUAAGUCCGGGGUGAAAACUGCUGGCUCAACCAGCAGCCUGCCUUGGAAACUACCCGGCUGGAGUGCUGGAGAGGUGGACGGAACUGCACGAGUAGAGGUGAAAUUCGUAGAUAUGUGCAGGAAUGCCGAUGAUGAAGAUAGUUCACUGGACGGCAACUGACGCUGAAGUGCGAAAGCUGGGGGAGCGAACAGGAUUAGAUACCCU